rnacentral:tmRNA from 2 species
GGGGACGAAAUGGCUUCGACUGCUGUGGCAUCGAAGGCAGAAUUGCAUGCGGAGUUGAGGAACUCUCCAAAACCUCACCUUAUAAGUGCCAACAACGAAAUGGCUCUGGCAGCUUAAUUAAGCAACCAGCGCUCACCAUCGGCCUGCCCUUGGGCUGGUGAAUGAGUGUCAUAAAUCGAGGGACGCUUCGGGCUGUCGCGGAUCGCAGACCGACUAAGACUUAGAUUCGCAAGGCAACGUCUGGCCGGUCGGCGGGCAGGGCGUUGUCUAAUAAACUGCCGACUAAGCAUGUAGAGGUUCUAUCUUCGCACCGUAGGACGCGGGUUCGACUCCCGCCGUCUCCAA